AAUGGGCCAGCAUCCUGUCUUGUGGCAGGAGGUUAUGUUCGACCGAGCCAUGUUCGAAAUGGCGUAAGGCUAGGUGGACCGAGUCAUGUUCGAAGUGGCGUAAGGCUAGGUGGAUCGAGUCAUGUUCGAAGUGGCGUAAGGUUGGAUCGGCCGAAUCACAAUCGAGACCCGUAGGCGUUGUAUCUGUAAGCUUUAAAUGAAUUUGUUACAUAUUUCUAACAGCUCGAACUUUUGGAAUUAAUGGUUAGUGCCAACGAUCCGACAGGAGCCUUCAAAUCGAUAAUCAGUACCAUUAAACUUGAUCUAUACAACUUGAAAUAUUAUCACCUUUGUACUUAUAAGUCAUUUUUGAUGAUAGAGCUUUUGAAUUAACGAUCCAUACUGUUAAAUAUUAUCUAGAACAUUUAAAACUUUUAGAAAUUAAAUUUUAUAAUUUUUCGACAUUAUUUAGCUUACGAUCAAAAGAUCUCAAUAUUGAAAAUUUUUAACAACCGGCACAAAAUACUUGCUAGUGUAAUGGUACAAAAGAAUUGAAAUUGGUUGAAUUUUUGAUAAAAAAUUUUAUUCAUUAUCUAGAAAAAAAAUCGAUAACUCUGAUCUUAAAUUGAUGUAUUCGUUCCUCUAUUUUUAUAAAAUCGUUUGAUUUUGACCAUUCAAUUUAUCCCUGCUUGAUGGACAUUAUUAUAAUUUUACAAAUUAUGAAAUUUUUUUUGCAAAAAUUUCAAAUACUCUAAAUUAUAUUUAAUAGUAUGGUCAUCAAUUCGAAAGCUUCAUUAUCGAAAAUAACUUCUGAAUAUGAAGGGCGUCAUACUCAUAAGAGUAUAGUAGCACUACUCUAUAUAGAUAUAUAUAGAGAGAGAGAGAGAGAGAGAGAGACCAGCUAUGGUCUUUUUAAAAGCACAAAACACUUGGUGUUUCUAAGUUUUUGCUCCAUUAGAUCUAUCUUUUUUACCAUUUUCAUCCGUUAAAUUAUAUUAUUCAAUCCACUACCUACUCAACCCUAUUGGACUACUAUCAUUCUAACUACACAUCCCUUCAUCUCAGAGCCAAAAACCUACAAGCACCAAUGGUUUGGCACUUUUAAACACUUA
rnacentral:lncRNA from 1 species